UCUACUGUUGCUAAGUAACCCAGUGGUAGUGGAGGAGGCUGCCGCCGCCGCCGCCGACGACGUCGCCGCCACCGCCACCUGAACUGUUUGAGAACGGAAACAAGUGAACUGAACGGAGAACUGUUCGGCUGCUGGACGAUGGACGAGGGCAGCGAGUUGUCGCUGAGCGUCGCUCACGUCGUGCAGCGGCUCAAGGGCAGCCACCUGCACUCGCAGAUAGAGAGACAAGCGAAAGAGUGUUUACAUCAGCCCGAGAUAAAGCUGGACUCUCUCAAAGAGGACGUCCGCAGUUUCCUCAAAACAGCAGGCUGGGAGAGGAAGCUGCAGAAUUCCGUGUACAGGGAGCUGCAUGUCCAGCCGCCCCCGAGCCACCCCGCCGCUCCUCCGGAGCAUCUCAAAGAGCCGCUGGCCUACAUGCGCAAGGCCCAGGCCAGCUGGGAGAAGCGUGUCCUCAAAAGCCUGAACAGCAUGAGCACCGAACUGGGAGUGCCCCUGGCCCGCAUGAGGCCCGCGGCAGAGCAGAAGGAGCUCACAAACAAAUGGAACGAGAUGGGUACAGACGAACCAGAUUUGAGCCGCUUCCGGCCCGUCUACGCCCCCAAAGACUUUCUGGAGGUGUUAGUCAGUCUGAGGAACCCCAACCACGACAGCAGUGAGGAUGUCAGCGCCAGGAGCCACUGGGGCCUCAUCCAGGUUCCCCUCAAUGUCAGAGACGUCCCACAGCUGAGACGGGCCUUCUGCGAGCUGAACCUGACCGCGGGGCAGUUGGGGAUUGACGACCACGCACACAUGCACCCAGACUUGUUUGAAAACGACUAUGUUCAGAUUGGGAAGAAAGUGGUCGUGGACCAGGACAGUGCGGCCGCGCAGCAGUACAGCAGGCAGGGCUGCCCCACCGGGCUCCGGGCAGACCUGUGGGCCCUCAUCCUGAACUCCACCAACCAGCCCCCGGAUGUGAUGCAUUAUGAACAGCUCAAGGCUGGAGUCAUACAACAUGACCUGCUGGUGGACAACCUUAUCUAUAAGGAUGUGAAGCUCACCGCCAGUAAUGAUGACUACUACUUUGUGUUUGAAGACUUCCUCUAUCAGGUGCUGCUGUGUUUCUCCCGGGAUGCCGCCGUGUUGGAGCACUUCAAAUACAACAGUGCCACUCCUCCCAAAUCCUACAUCCAGGGGAAAGUGGGAGAUGAGGAGUGCGCUGUUGUUUAUCCUCCCAACGGCAUAAUCCCUUUCCAUGGCUUCUCUAUGUAUGUGGCACCUUUGUGUUUCCUGUACAACGAGCCGUCCAAGCUGUACAGUGUAUUCAGGGAAAUGUACAUCCGCUUCUUCUUCAGAUUACACUCCAUCUCCUCCUCUCACUCGGGUAUCGUGUCGUUGUGCCUGCAGUUUGAGCGGCUGCUCCAGACCCACCUGCCUCAGCUCUUCUACCACCUCCGACAGAUCGGUGCACAGCCGUUGCGUAUUGCCUUUAAGUGGAUGGUGCGGGCCUUUUCUGGUUAUCUGUCCACGGACCAACUGCUCCUUCUCUGGGACCGUAUCCUGGGAUACGACUCGCUGGAGGUAGUCGCAGUCCUCGCAGCUGCUGUGUUCGCCUUCCGCGCCGAGAACCUGAUGGAGGUGACGUCACUUGCCUCGGCUGAGCCCCCUCUCUCUGCCGACCCCCCACCCCACAUUCUCCUCAAAGGCUGUAAAUAGCCAUUGAUGACCAGCCAGUUCCAGUAACCCAGUCUCCUGCAUGCGCGUCUGAAAAAACUAGACAGCUGUCCUCGCCGACCUUUCAACCCUGAAGGUCAUGCCGCUCAUCCAGAUCUUUCUCUUUGCCACCGCCAUCUGAGGAGCCUGGAGAGAGCACCGUGCGAGUCGUGGUACGCACAAGUACACUUUAUUGUCCGAGACAAUAAAGAUAAAUGCUACACUUUGCUUUGCCAUAACUACGCUAAUAUCAAGAAACACCAGACUCCACUGUUGGAAAUCAAAGAAUAACCAAGGAAAAACUACACUUUACAUUUCACACCGCAUCUCGUGGUGGUUCAAGCAAAAAAAGCCAAACCCCCUCUUUAGCUUGUAUGCAACCAAAAAUAGUGAAUACCCUGUAUCGUGUUAUUAGAUAUUAUACAGUUUGUAAGUAUAGCCUAUAAACCAUUACGGUUAAGCUAACCUCCAUAAGCCAUACGACCCUGCAGGAAAGUCGAGCUGAGCCGAGCUUGGAUGAGCCGAGGAGGAGCUCGUUAGGAGAGGAGGUGCACUAAGCGGUAGUUGUGUCACGAUAGCAGCGCGCGAGGGGAAAACAACAAUAACAUCUAUGAGCUCGGCUAAUGAAGUGUUAAUUAGCUCAUACAAUUUAUGCAGCUCUGCUCCUCCCUGUUGUUAUAACUACCAGAUAAAGCUGUUACCGAUGAAUGCGGAGAUUGGAUGCAAUUAGUCCACGCCAGCACGUUGGGAGAAAUAGUCAAAAGACAAAAACGGAAUUAAGAGCUCAGAUCAGCAGCUGCUGUGAAUACACAUUAUAUUGUAUUUAUGAAUGAAUCGAAUAUUGUCGCCAUCCUAAGGGGGCAUUUUGCACCUUCAGUGCCAUUAUUUAUUUUAUUUAAUCGUCACGAUUUUAUGAUUGUCUUUCAAUUUAUUUCAAAUCAUGAAUUUAAUGCCUGAAUGUAUUGACCUGUAUGUCCUAGUUUUUUUCAGAGACACUGUGCAUCGACUUUGCUUUAAAUGCAAUCAAUUUUUUUUUCUUAUCUAUUAACAGUAUCCUUUGCCAGUCAAUGCCAAUGUCUUCCAUCCAAACCAUUUUUAAUGUUUCAUGCAACCUGAAAUUACACUUUUAAAAUAAAAUAAAAUAACAUUUUGUUGAUCCCUUCCUCCACUUUAUUCUACCAAAACUUGACUGAGGCCUUGAAAUGUGUGACAGGUUUUUUCUUUUGUUGCCUCCAGUAGACGCUGCCUGAUCUUUCCUGCUCCACAACUAUACGUUUCUCUCGGUUUGUGUGACAGGGUAAAUAUUUGGACGGGGCGCACUGUACUUGAGUUCGCCAUAGGCAUUUUUAGUGAAGGCACAGUUGCUAAAUGACAGGUAGCAGCCUUUUUUCUUUUCUUUUUUUUUGCACUUGACCGUCUGUCCCCUUCCCACAGUCCUCCUCCCACAUGCAGCAUCUGCUCUAUCCCUCCGUCGUUUGUUGGCUGCCUUCCUUCCCUCCCCGCCGCCCCCACCCCCCGCUCUGCGGGCUCGUAUCGAAUUAUGCUGUUCUUCUCUUUUGCCUCUCCCCGUCUCCCGGGUUCCUGCUACAUCUGCCACCUGUUUACUAGGACUCCCACGGCCCGAUUCUUUUAUCAGUCGUGCACCUCCUUUUGGCCCCCUCGGAGUCUUUUCCUCCUGAGACAACCGUUACCUGCUGGUAGUAACGGUUAGUUACAUAGUUCGCCCAUGCAGCAGGUCCCUCCUGGUGGCCGAGGUGCCGCGUUGCAUCAUGUCCAUCAACACAACGAGUCUGGCCACGAUGAAAGAUUUCUCGUUGAAAGCCCUAUCGAGUACAGUGAGCCCUAAUAAGUGUCCGGGCAUAUGCGAGUUGUUUUAGGUUUCAUUACUCUCUCAUUACUGAUGAUAUAACAUCUUUGCGGUUAGGUUUUCAAACCAUAUCAAAUUGAACAGUGUAAUGAGACAGCCCUGUAAUGUCUCACUCCCAGAGAGGGGUGCAAAAAAAGUACAGAUUUACCCUAUGUUGUCUUUUAUAUGCUUAUGAAAUGUAUAUGAUAUUGAUCUCAAAAUAACAACACUUAAAAAUCAACCCGAUGAAAGGAAAAAGGUUAAAAAAAUAGUUUUAACCUUAAAAAUAGUUUUAUUCUAGAAACAACUUUUAUUCUAGUUGUUUCUAGAAUAAAAGUCAAAUAGUAGUAUAAAAAGAUACUAAAUUUUCAAAAUAAGUACAUUUUUGCUCACAGCCUUUUACCAGAAGCACGCCUCUUGGGAAUUUCAGAGUGACAUCAACCACUGCUGGAAUACGGUCUCCUCCUUACCGCAAGUGAAAGUCAAUUUCCCGCCCUGGUCCAUCUAUUUGAACCGAUUUGCUGUUUUAAUCAAUGCCGGCUGUGUACACAGGCUCUGUGAAGGCAGUUUUUUUUCUUAUGGAAACAUAAUUCACAUGAAAAAAAAGAUCUGUUUAUCAGUCUACCUGCCUUACACGUGACACUUUGGACAGGUGAACCAUUUAUAGCAGUGGAGUACAAGGGCCCAAGGAUUACUUGCAAACCGGAGUGUAAAUUAGGCUGCAGCCUGUUGGGACUUUGACAUUUAAACUUCUGAUGUUGUUUAAACACAAGGAAGCAAAUGGUCUUUGCUAAAAAAGUUUUUUUAAUGUUUAAUUCCUUACAUUUACAUACCUUUUUUUGCCUCUUCUGAAAAAUACACUAAGUCAAACUUUUAGUUGUUUCUCUGAUUACAUAGAUUGACAAAGAUGGAUGGAUGUAUUAUUAAAGUUAGUAAGAUUAUUUGCACAGUGAAAUAACAGUGAUUGUUAUCUGUGGAUGUUUUUUUUAAAUCCAGCAGUAAAUUUUUGCCAGUGAAGUUAAUAGUGAUGAUGACUAUUAUCAUUUGUAAUAUUGUAUUUGAAGAAAUAGUUUUAAAAAGUAAUUGUAAUAAUACUUUUUGUCUUUUCUUCGUAACUUUGUUAAGAGAGGUGCUACAAUGUAUUAUUGCAAUAAUAAUAAUAAUAUAAAGGUAGUAAUGGUGGGGGUAGACUUUAUUUUGAUCUAAUUUAUAAGUAUGACGCUAUACUGCAAAAAAAAGUAAAGAAUGUUUAUUCGAAUGAAUUGCUGUGGGGGAAAAAAUCAUUGGAAUCAUCCUUUAACAUUCACUUUAUUCCCCACGCUGUGCAUCUUCCAAAAUAAGGCCAAAAAAAAAAAGAAAAGAAAAAAGAAGUUGUCUGAACCAGCCAAUCAGGCGCUGCCAUGUUGGGACAGUCCAGCCAAUGGGAAGCGCUCAGCCUGGAGGGAAAAUCUUUAGUGGCCCGGAGUGCGGAAGUGGAGUACAGUGAAGCAAUUUUCAUCGUCGUCGUCGUCACGACAGGAAGAAGAAAUGGAAAAAACGAAAUAAAGUUUCUGUGGAGGAUUCCUCUGAUUGGCAGAGGGUCAAGAAUCUGUCGCAGCCAACAAACAAUUCAAUAGUUAAAAAAUAUUUGAAUUUUUUUUCAUUUUGUAAAAUAAAACUAAAAGCCUUACCGCCGGGGUAGAAGUGAGUUAACACUCUUUCAUUAAAUUAUUCCUUUUUUAAAAAGAAAAAAAACACCAUCGGCUGAUGGCGGUGGUGUUGUCCCCCACCCCGUAUGUCCCUCCUUCCUCCCCCCCCUCCCCGAUGUCAAACACACUUCCGGCCCCGCUCCGGCUUCCCUUCCCCGCUGCUUGUGCACCAGCCGGCGGAGCGGCGGCGGCAGUGACCGGACGGAGGGACGGACGGACGGAGGGAGGGACGACGGACGGGCGGCGCUCGAGUAUGACUCGCACACCGAGCCGCGAAGAGAGCAGCUGACGUUGCGAAGAGAAAAGCGAGCGGCUCCGGCGGCGGAUGUCGCGUGCGGCGUGCCCCCACGGGAAGCGGAGGGAGCACCGGCGGACGCUUCCGUUGACGCGACGGGAUUGUGCGACGUCCGCGUGAGGGAGGCGGGACCCAGGGGGAGAAGCUCCGGCGACUCCAAUAUGCUCCGGCGGCCCCCGGUGCUCGCGUACCGUACGUGGAAGUACAGGGACGACAGUCACGGGCCCACGUAGGAGGACGCACCCCCUUUCCAGAAGAGGCUAUUUAUUUAUAUACAAUUAGGUUUUUUUUGAUUGUUGUUAUUACAAGUAGUUCCGCGUCUGUUUUUGUUUUGGACCGGGGGAGGGGAGGGGAGGGGAGGGGGGGUUCCUUCAGACGGGACUGCAUGUGCUUGGCUCAUUAGCUGCAAAUCGCCACACAGUCCUUGGUGUUUCUUCUUCUUCUUCUUCCUCUUGAAAGAGGAGGAGGAGGAGGAGGAGGAGGAGGAGGAGGGGGGGGGGGGGGGGGGUCUUCUUUCAAAGUAGUUCACCUUCCCGGUGACUCACGAUGAACUAUUAUUUCGGAGGCGUUCUUCGCGCUCCCGUGAGGUUCGGUGUCAGCUGGUAGCCGGCACAGGUCUCACCCUGCGCCUGGGACUUUCUUACAUUUAUUUUUUUUAUUGUAUUAUAUUAUAUUUAUUUUUGGGAUUCUUUUAAGUUGGAGCAUUUUUAAUUUUU